rnacentral:rRNA from 1 species
UACGUAGGGUGCAAGCGUUGUUCGGAAUCACUGGGCGUAAAGCGCACGUAGGCGGAUUUGUAAGUCAGGGGUGAAAUCCCGGGGCUCAACCUCGGAACUGCCUUUGAUACUGCGAAUCUCGAGUCCGAUAGAGGUGGGUGGAAUUCCUAGUGUAGAGGUGAAAUUCGUAGAUAUUAGGAAGAACACCGGUGGCGAAGGCGGCCCACUGGAUCGGUACUGACGCUGAGGUGCGAAAGCGUGGGGAGCAAACAGG